UCCGUCGUAGCUUAAUUGGUAGAGCAUCGGACGCGCAAUUCGAAGGUUGUGGGUUCGCAUCCCACCGAUGGAA
rnacentral:tRNA from 1 species